UGCAGUCGAACGAGACCUUCGGGUCUAGUGGCGCACGCGGUGAGUAACGCGUGGAAACCUACCAUUCUGUACGGAAUAACGAUUGGAAACGAUCGCUAAUACCGUAUACGCCCUGUGGGGGAAAGGUCCGCCGCAGAAUGAGGGGUCCGCGUCCGAUUAGCUUGUUGGUGGGGUAAAAGCCUACCAAGGCGAUGAUCGGUAGCUGGUCUGAGAGGAUGAUCAGCCACACUGGGACUGAGACACGGCCCAGACUCCUACGGGAGGCAGCAGUGGGGAAUAUUGGACAAUGGGGGCAACCCUGAUCCAGCAAUGCCGCGUGUGUGAAGAAGGCCUUAGGGUUGUAAAGCACUUUUCAAUGGUGAAGAUGAUGACGGUAGCCGUAGAAGAAGCCCCGGCUAACUUCGUGCCAGCAGCCGCGGUAAUACGAAGGGGGCGAGCGUUGUUCGGAAUUACUGGGGCGUAAAGGGCGCGCAGGCGGCCAAUCCAGUCAGGUGUGAAAGCCCCGGGCUUAACCUGGGAACUGCACUUGAUACUGAUUGGCUAGAAACGGAAGAGGGCAGUGGAAUUCCCAGUGUAGAGUGAAAUUCGUAGAUUUGGGA
rnacentral:rRNA from 1 species